UUGGCUUAAUCAUGCUUUAAUGAUUCCCUACUUUAAUGUCAACUUUCAUAUAACUUUUUGUGAUAGACGAGAUCAGGUGGUUACUUUUACGCUUGAAACUAAGUGAUCAUGAACUCGUUGAAGUUGUCUCUGCCUUUGAAGAAGCUCUUCCUGCCGUUGACACCCUAAAUCAGCCAAAUGUCGCAUUCCCGUUUUCCUUGAGCGCUACUAUA
rnacentral:lncRNA from 1 species